rnacentral:rRNA from 1 species
GACGUAGGGCGCGAGCGUUGUCCGGAUUUAUUGGGCGUAAAGAGCUCGUAGGCGGCUUGUUGCGUCGACUGUGAAAACCUGCGGCUCAACCCCGAGCGUGCACCCGAUACUGCCGGGCUUGAGGCAGGUAGGGGAGAUCGGAAUUCCUGGUGUAGCGGUGAAAUGCGCAGAUAUCAGGAGGAACACCAAUGGCGAAGGCAGCUCGCUGGGACGUGACUGACGCUGAGACGCGAAAGCGUGGGGAGCAAACAGG